UUAAUUAGUGUGAAUUAAUUCUCAGAACUUAAUUGUUUCAGAGUAAGCUGACAAAAAUCAAGUUUCUGCCAUUUCAAAGCUGAGGACCAAGACCUGGUCGUCCUCAUCAGGGAGGAAACGAAAUUUCCUCAGUCCUGAAGGGGAAAAAAUGUUUAAUGUAUGAGCUGGCAUUGAAUGCUUAAUGAUUUCUACAGUCAACACCCUCCUUCAAAGGCUGAGUCAUCUUUGCAAGAUCUGCACUCUUUGUCAGACUCAGCAAACUGACAAAGAAGCUAAAAAACAGGCUAAUAUUGAUGGACUAUGGGAACACAGACAUGCCCAUACACUAUUGGUGGAGCUGUGCUAGGAAACCAUUUAGAAUCAUUCAAGAAAAGCAAUUAAACUGCCAAAAAGAUAAAAGAAAAUAUUACAGCAUUUACUGUCAGGAUCCAGUAACAGAAGACCAGCUAUUGGGGACACAGUCCUUGGAGCAUGCUCAGAUUAGACCUUCCCACUGAGUUAAGCAGAAUCUGAACAAUAUUUCUAGCUUCAAUCCAAAGCAGAGGCUUGGGGAUGUCUUUCCUGGCUGUGAGUGCUGCAUGGCAACUUGGGACUUGGUUGGUCCGAGAAGCAGAACUGUUUCCAUAUAAAAGUGAUGAGUAUGU